rnacentral:rRNA from 1 species
ACGGAGGGUGCAAGCAUUAAUCGGAUUUAUUGGGCGUAAAGAGCGUGUAGGCGGCGAAGAAAGUCAGAUGUGAAAUCCCGGGGCUUACCCCCGGAACUGCAUUUGAAACUUUUUCACUAGAGGGUAGGCGGAGAAAACGGAAUUCCACAAGUAGCGGUGAAAUGCGUAGAUAUGUGGAAGAACACCGGUGGCGAAGGCGGUUUUCUAGCUUAUUCCUGACGCUGAGACGCGAAAGCAAGGGGAGCAAACAGG